rnacentral:misc_RNA from 1 species
GAUGAAGAACGUAGCGAAAUGCGAUAAGUAAUGUGAAUUGCAGAAUUCAGUGAAUCAUCGAAUCUUUGAACGCACCUUGCGCCCUUUGGCUAUUCCGAAGGGCAUGCCUGUUUGAGUAUCAUGAACACCUCAACUCUUCACGGCUUGCCGUGAUGAGUUUGGACUUUGGGGGUCUUGCUGGCCUACGAGCCAGCUCCUCUCAAAUGUAUUAGCUUGCCGGUGUUUGGUGGCAUCACAGGUGUGAUAACUAUCUACGCUUGUGGUUUUCCACUAGGUAACCUUCAGCAAUGGAGGUUCACCGGAGCUCACAAAUGUCUCUCCUUGCCAAGGACAGAUUUUGACAAUUUGAUCUCAAAUCAGGUAGGACUACCCGCUGAACUUAAGCAUAUCAAUAAGCGGAGGA